ensembl:lncRNA
GGGAGGGGGGGGGGGGGGGGGUGAGGGAGUAAAGGGAGGUUCAAUUGGCAGAGAACCACUUCAUAAAAGUUGAAAUGUGCUUUUUGUAAUCUCGUAUUUCUUUCAUUGAACAUGACAUCUUUCGCUGUGGAGGAAUGUUACAGAAGACCUGCGUCGGGUUCCGGAGCAGAUCGGGCGGCGUGCACGAAACAGGCCUUUCACGCAGCGAAGGGAAAGGGUUUGAGAUUGAGCAGGAUGAGCGCAACGUGCUUGGGCCAAGGUCUCUCCCAGCUUGUAUGAAUGAAUUGCUGUCGGCUGGGUAAUAGAAGUGGGUCACAUGGACGUUAUUUAAGACGUGUACUUCCACUCGAGCACAUUUGGCUGUCAUAGCACUGGCGAUCCGUCCACCAUGCGUUCGUCACAGCCGAAAUUAUCUCAUUUAAUUAUGGGCGGGGGUUGUUUAGUUAACAACGGCUUUAAGCUGCCUUGGAUAUCGGUGCUAAAAGAAAUCAGCAAUAAAACUGUAACACAGAUCGGAUUAAGUGCUUCCUUUUCACAAAUUACCCUCAUGCCCCCUCUGGAAAGCCACACCAGAAGAUUAUCGGUUUGGGAUUUCUUACGGAAAUCACUGCAUCAGAUGUCGCAGCGCAGUCGAUGCAACUGCAUUAAACGAAGUGCAGCCUCAUGUCAGAGGUCAUCCUGGAGAAACAAAAAGGACUACAGUCAUCUUUUUGGGGGGGGGUUUACUGAAUGAGAUGUUGUGUGAGGUUUAAGACGAGGUCAAAGGGGACAGUUUUCUGCCUGACUUGAUCGGGGCUAAAUUGUCUCGUUCCUUGAUGUUCAGGGGAGCUAUUAGGGGUUGUGUGUCUUGCUCAGGGACACACAGAAUUCGAACCAUCGUCGCAGAUAUAAAAUCUUAAAUCAAUACGGUCAGUGAUAUUUAAAGAAGUGGGCAGAGACGACGGCGACUUGCAUUCUUGUAAAUCCGGCGCUUUGAGUCGUCAUGUUUCCUUUGGUUCUCAGAAGAACCGACAAAGUAAAAAGCAGGAUGAGGCCAUUGCGCGCGCGCGUGUGAUAGAAUGUUUCUUUUUAACCGGAGCUUUCUUUUUCCUUCUCCCACUUUUCUCUCUCUCUCUCCCUCCCCUCCCUUUUUAUUUUCCUGGCCCGUCACCCUUUGAAAUCAAAGAGCCUCUCUAGCCGUCGGCCAGGGGCCCAGUGGGCUUUUCGUCCUCUUCCUGGUCCUCCGGGUUGGGACUCGGGCCACGAGGCCCUCUGGACCGGCUCAGCCGACAUUUUGUUGCAGAUUGGCGAAAGACGGGCCGCGCGCCUCGCAGCUUCAGUCCCCCGUUACGUUGCCUCGACCAGGCGGCUGUGGAAAACCAAGGUCAGGCAUUUUCCAAAUUAGUAGCUUCACCAGGAUGAUUUGGGAUUGAUUUGUGCUCCAAUUAUCACCCCACACGCACACUAAAAAGCUCCACGCGCUUAUUUCCCAGGAAAUUCUAACUGAUAGCUCCAUUCAACCUAGUUUCAUUGAUGAUGCCGAGGCAAUACUGGAUGGAUCGUUUUAGAAAUUAGGGAAAAGGGGAGAGAGGAACCUCUGAGUUCAUGCCAACCGUCUGGCUCCGAACUGCCGAUGACUUCACCCUCUAAAUCCCAUCCCAUCCCACUGUGAGACAGACAACUGGAUUGAAGCUUCUGCUGUCAUACUGUAAAUGGAAUUCACAGUUUUAUUGAGUUAAGAUGCUACAUUUCAUCAUUAUUGUUUCACUUUAAUGGGCCUGUGAAAUACUGUUACCACUUACACAGAAAAUAGAUUCUUCCUCACUUUUCUGUUGAAUUGUCCCGAUCUGUUUUUUCUACCCAUUUUCAACCAUGCAGCUAUCGAUAAAACAGCUUUUAAUGUUGAUUAAAUAAAAUGCCUCCUAGUCUUAGCGUAUUUGUGGUCCAAUCUGCUGGAAAUGUUGUGGACAUCUUGCCUGUUCAUUGAACCCACGCAAGGACUUAAGGGUUUCUAGAACUAACACUAACUGCACUUUUAUUUCGCCCCCGAGGCCGCCCGCUCCGCAGUGUGACCGCACGCAGGAUGGAGGAAAGAUUUACUGUAAUUCUCGGCUGUUUUGAUAUCAGACAGCCUGUUGAGUAAUAAAGGUCAAGGUCUGUUAACCUUUGCGGCUGGGAACGGAUGAUGCGUACAAACCCCGUUUGCUGGUUGACUCACUGCUGACACGUGCCAGAUAAGCGGCGGUGCCG